rnacentral:SRP_RNA from 1 species
UCCCAGGUCUCAUACAGUGUGAAGUUACCCAACCCCGUCAGGUCUGGAAGGAAGCAGCGGUAAGUGACAGAGCGCGUGUUAUGAAUCGCCUGGGGCCU